UACGUAGGGUGCAAGCGUUGUCCGGAUUUAUUGGGCGUAAAGAGCUCGUAGGCGGUUUGUCGCGUCGGAUGUGAAAACCCAAUGGCUUAACCUUGGGCCUGCAUUCGAUACGGGCAAACUAGAGUGUGGUAGGGGAGACUGGAACUCCUGGUGUAGCGGUGGAAUGCGCAGAUAUCAGGAAGAACACCGAUGGCGAAGGCAGGUCUCUGGGCCAUAACUGACGCUGAGGAGCGAAAGCGUGGGGAGCGAACAGGAUUAGAUACCCUGGUAGUCCACGCCGUAAACGGUGGGCGCUAGGGGUGGGGAUUGUUUCCACGAUCUCCGUGCCGUAGCUAACGCAUUAAGCGCCCCGCCUGGGGAGUACGGCCGCAAGGCUAAA
rnacentral:rRNA from 1 species